GUUACCGCGAGGGAGGGCACCGGUUGCCAUGGUAACCGACUGGGCGGCGUGAGCCCCUCUCGCGGGCUCCGCCUCCCACCUUUCUUUAGGAGAGGUCGCGCACUGCCAGCCGAGCUUUCGAAUCCAGCGAGCCGCGUCCCAGUUGCAGCAGAGCUAGACCGCAACUCUUCGCGUCGGACUGUGCAGGUGAGGGUAGCUCAAGAGCCUCCCACCUCAAGGAACCUCGAUCCUCCGGAGCCCCCGGGCACAAGCUCAUUCUGGCUAUUAGCCUAGGACUAAGGGAAGAAUGCGGGACGCAGAAGGGACUGGCAGAGUAUAGACCUGGGGACCAGAGUCAGGAGAUAGGGAAGGAAGAGACCUUGAGCGACUCAUUUCAUCUUGGUUUCCCACGUGGGAAACUGAUGCGAAACUGGAUGACCUCCAAGGCCACGGGACCAGCAGACUCAGCAUCACCUAGGAGCUUGUUCAGUUCAGUGUGAGCAUGUGCUGUUCUUCCUGCUCACCGGGUGUGAAAAGCCUUCCUGUGAAGUAUGGCACUCUGUACCUCUCUCUUUUCGGAUUGAUCAAAGGGAUUGUAACCUCCAAUGAGACACUUAAGUGGUCAUUUAUAAUGUCACUUCCUGCCUCUGCACUCGCCUGUCCGUGGACACUGUGUGUGCUGCCACGUGUUCUCUGUUGUAAACGGUGCUGUUUGGGUUUCUCCCAGGACACUCUUAAGAGGCAGUCAAGAGAACAUCCUGGACUAUCAAUAAAGGGUUUGCAAAGGAUGCAUGACUUACCCUCCCACAGCUGAAGACUCUGUGGAGCAACAGACGGCCAGAUGACAAGGUUGUUGGCUUCAAAGAGAGGGUUGGUGAGCUUACUCAGUUCACUGGGCCGGUUGACCCAGGACCACAGAGACAUCGUUUUCUGCUGCAGCUUCAACUUACAUCUGAUCAAGAAAGAAAACUGCCAUUAAACCAAUUAACUUAUGGCAACCACUAUUAAAUGCUGCUUCUAAUAGGACCAUUUCUUUUCUCUGUACAUUGGAAGGCAGAACAAAAUGCUGUCAAAUUGAAAUAUCUGUCAGAAUUUUUCACUGUCAACAAUUACCUAAAUUGAAGAAACAGAAAAUCUCAACAGACCUAUAACAGGAAACAUCCUUACCAGGCCCACCAAUGAAUGGCUGCAGAAAAGAAGUUAACACUUUCCCUCCCAAAUCUGGCUGGAACCAGGAAACAUUUCAAACAAGUUACUUUUUUUAAUGUUACCUCCUUAGCUCCUCCCCUUCUUUGUUUUAUAAAAGUACCUAGCAUCCAAACCCAGGCAAGACACUUCUUUGGGACACUAAUAUACCCUCUUCCUGCUCUGCUGGCUUUCCUAAUAAAGUUGCUCGUCUUUGCCCUGACAA